GAUGAUGCAAAGGCGAAUGAGAAAGUUGUUAGCAUCUUUGCAUCACAGGAGCAGGGAUGGUUGAUUGAGAGGAAAAAGCUCAGGCAGCACGCUGGAACUCUUAUGAAUGAAUUGAGGGUUCUUCAAAAAAGUAAAGAAGAAGCUAUUUCUGAAAUAAAUGAUAAAUUGAAGGAGAUGGAGCUUCUGGUGCAGGAGAAGGAUAAGGCAUUAGAGGAAAAGGAACAUAAGAGGAAGGAGUUAGAAGAAAAGUUUAAAAAGGC
rnacentral:misc_RNA from 1 species